UACGUAGGGUGCGAGCGUUAAUCGGAAUUACUGGGCGUAAAGCGUGCGCAGGCGGUUUUGUAAGCCAGAUGUGAAAGCCCCGGGCUCAACCUGGGAAUGGCAUUUGGGACUGCAAGGCUGGAGUAUGGCAGAGGAGACUAGAAUUCCUGGUGUAGCAGUGAAAUGCGUAGAUAUCAGGAGGAACACCGAUGGCGAAGGCAGGUCUCUGGGCCAAUACUGACGCUCAUGCACGAAAGCGUGGGGAGCAAACAGG
rnacentral:rRNA from 1 species